rnacentral:rRNA from 1 species
GUAACAAGGUCUCCGUUGGUGAACCAGCGGAGGGAUCAUUACCGAGUUUACAACUCCCAAACCCCUGUGAACAUACCUUACUGUUGCCUCGGCGGAUCAGCCCGCUCCCGGUAAAACGGGACGGCCCGCCAGAGGACCCCUAAACUCUGUUUCUAUAUGUAACUUCUGAGUAAAACCAUAAAUAAAUCAAAACUUUCAACAACGGAUCUCUUGGUUCUGGCAUCGAUGAAGAACGCAGCAAAAUGCGAUAAGUAAUGUGAAUUGCAGAAUUCAGUGAAUCAUCGAAUCUUUGAACGCACAUUGCGCCCGCCAGUAUUCUGGCGGGCAUGCCUGUUCGAGCGUCAUUUCAACCCUCAAGCCCUCGGGUUUGGUGUUGGGGAUCGGCGAGCCUUUCUGGCAAGCCGGCCCCGAAAUCUAGUGGCGGUCUCGCUGCAGCCUCCAUUGCGUAGUAGUAAAACCCUCGCAACUGGAACGCGGCGCGGCCAAGCCGUUAAACCCCCAACUUCUGAAUGUUGACCUCGGAUCAGGUAGGAAUACCCGCUGAACUUAAGCAUAUCA